AAAAAAAGAGAGAAGACAUAAUUUUGCGAUUUGGAAACUUGACACGCUAGAAAAAAGGAAUUUAAUAGCUGAGUUCACGUCCUGCCAACAAAACUUAGAAGGAAUCAACAAACUUCAAGUUCAGGCGCAUAUGUGGUACCCUGUGGCCUAGCGAGAAGAUCGCAGAUGACAUGGGAGGCCUUCAUCUUCUGCAUCUGUCCGACCUUUUCAGCUCCUCUUCUGGUCACUCUGUCAAGGGGGCCUGGAACUCCUGAGAAGUGAAAGGACCAGCCCUAUCUCAGAUGGUGCGGGUUUCUUCACCCUGACCUCUGCCGUGUUUGCUUGGAGCCCCAGAGCUCAUCCUUCAAGGCCUUUUUAAAAAUAGCACAGCCUCUGUCAAGCCUUCUUGAAAAAUUAAAUUUUUUAUUGUAAAAACUUUCAAACAUAUAAAGAAUGUGAAAGAAUAGGCAAUUAUCUGUAUACUCAUCACCCACAUUCAAUAAUUGACAUUUUGCCGUCUUAGCCUCAUCUACCUAUUUCUACUGAAUCAUAUGAAACUCACUUGCAGACAUUAUGAUAUAGAACACCAAAAUCCAUAAACAUGUGU
rnacentral:lncRNA from 1 species